rnacentral:tRNA from 1 species
GGGGCCGUAGCUCAAUUGGGAGAGCGCAUGACUGGCAGUCAUGAGGUCGUCGGUUCGAUCCCGAUCGGCUCCA